rnacentral:rRNA from 1 species
UACAGAGGGGGCAAGCGUUGUUCGGAAUUACUGGGCGUAAAGGGCGCGUAGGCGGCCUGUUAAGUCGGACGUGAAAUCCCUCGGCUCAACCGGGGAACUGCGUCCGAUACUGGCGGGCUUGAAUUCGGGAGAGGGAUGUGGAAUUCCAGGUGUAGCGGUGAAAUGCGUAGGUAUGCGGAGGAACACCGAUGGCGAAGGCAAUCCCCUGGGCCUGUACUGACGCUCAUGCACGAAAGCGUGGGGAGCAAACAGG